AGGGGGUAUCCUGUUUAUGAAUAAAGACAAGGGAUUGUUCUGGUAUAUCCUGAAGUGCAAAGGGACACACUGGAUCCUUCACUGAGGAGGCAAACUGACACCCUGAUUGUCUCACGAAAGAAGCACUGCAUGGAUUUGGGGAACUAACUAAAGCAAAAAAGAAGCUGAGGAAUGAUAUUGCCAUUUCUUUCCUUGGACAUGUCUCUGAAUCCAUACAUCAGUGAGGAGAACCAGGUAACAAAGAUGAUGUACUAUGAAAGACUGAAGUGACAAAAGAGGAGAUGCAGGAAGAAACUGAUAAAAGCAAACCUGGUUUGGUAAGUGGCCAUGACAACCUUUUUAAUACCUCCACCACAUAACAACGCACAGCAUUUCAAUAUGUGUUAGUGAUAGUGAAAUCCUCUUACAAAACACCAGGAUAGUCUUGUUAUGGUUAACAGUAUUUUCUUACAACUUCCGCUGAUUACUGUUUUCCUUUGCUGAACUUGCAAUACUUCAAUAUCAACCUUAUUCUAGAUUUAAGAUAUUUUUAUGUAGCACCUUUCAUUCUGAAGUACUACAAAGCACAUUUCAAACUAUGGCCCUGAUCCUGCAGUCUGAUUUGUGCAGACAGACUCCUCCACCUGGGUGGGCCGACACUGCCCUUGCAGAGUACUGGUGUGGUGUGCUCCUGGCAAGAAACCAUUCUUAAUAAAUAAGUUGCUGCAUUCUGUACUAGCUUCAGUUUCUGGAUUGAUUUAUGAUUUAGUGCCACACCAGACUCCCCAGUUGUGAAAUAUUAAAAUGACAAAAGUAUGGGUUAAAGUAGCAAGGCCUGACUGCUUCUGAAAGAAAUGUUCAUAUUCUCCUAGUCUGACAGAGAAGGGAAAGAGCCUUUCUAGAUACUGAACAUCUAACAGCAGGUGAGGAUAUAAAAAUACCUCCAGAUGGAGAACUCUAGCAACAAGCUGCUGGAAAACACUUGCAAUGUAAAGAGGCAGAUAUAAUUUUUGAUAGAACUUCUCUCAGACUACCUGUCUCACCUAUGUCUUGUGUACAUUGAGACUGCAGUCAUCCAUGCCCCAAUCUCAGCCACUCACUCACUAAGACAUUCAACAACACUUGCAAAUUAGGAGGAGAGAGAGCGCACGCAAGCCCACACAUGCAUGAUAAAUGUCAUAAGCAUGCCAAAGCAUUACAUCCCAUGCCUCCUAAACUUUUUCAGCUGCUCCCUAUACAUACUGAUCAAGAGACGAUACCACUGGCUGAAGCCAAAGGUCUCCUUCUACCAUUUCAAAAUGAUAAAACUUGAACACUUAUA